CAGCUUCUUCCUGCCCUCCAUACCGGACAUGGCCUCCACGUUCUUACGCCAGUCGGUUACUUCUUCCUUCUACAAAGAUAAAAGGUUGGCCUUGAAAUCAGAUUUCAUGAGUUUGGUGGUGUCGGUGCAUGCACCCAGCAUGUCGUCUGUGGAUUUCUUCACCCUCUUCAAGUUGGGCCUCUUUGCCCCCUUAAGCCCAAUGACCUUCUGAUUCAGUGUCUGGAUCUGUGCAACAAACACACACUUCAACAUCCUUAAAGCCACCAGCAUAGAAGCUGCCUUCUUCAGCAGUUUGGACUGUACGACAGUAAGGCGUUAAUGAGCCACAAUGAAAACUAAAGUGGUCUUGGAUCAUGUGUCAUAUUGUUAAAUAUCAUUCACACGUGGCCUUAAGGUCUACGAAGCCUACCUUCAAAUGCAGUCGGCGAGUUGCUGAAUAUUUUGGCUUCCUCUGUGAGAAACAUAAGAAUACUUUAUGCACAUCAAAUAGAGUCAUUAAUAAAGGUUUCUAAUUUUCUAAUAUUUUUAAGCAUUAAAUGCAUGAUUUUGAAUU